AGCCAACAAAGCCACAGCCCUAUCGGCUGUACUGGGCUCUGCCUUUUGGGCAGCUCGCCGGCCACUCCCCAAAAGCAGAGCAUUCCAUCCUUUCUCUUUUUAAACCCACGUCAUCAUCUGAUCAUAAUGGAAAUCAAUCUCCUCAAACCACCAUGCAAAGGCGUAUCCAUGGCAACCUCAAAAGGAAGGACACAGAGAUGAUGCUUCAGUGGCUGCAGCAGGAAAAGGAAACCUGUAGCUCAGUAUGGAUUCAGGGGCGCCUCAGACGCUCGCAGGAACGGAGGGGAGACCCUUGCAGUUCUGGAGGAACUCUAAGGCGCAGUCACUCUGAUCCCAGGAGAACAAUGCUAGGCUGAAGAGCUGAGUCCAGCCCUGACUGAAAACUGCGCACCGACCGCAGCCGGGAUUACAUCAAUCAGGCACAAAGCUGGACACCUGGGACAGGAUAAGCGCACGCGCACUGUGCCUGGGAAGCCGAUUAGGACCAUAAGAAAUCGGCGUGUCGUGGCGAGCGCCCUCUUUCGGCGGAGGGGAGAAAGCGCAGAAGGGCUGGAGGACUUAUUUGCAAGUGUUAAACUGCUAAUUAAAACAAUAGCGAUAAACCAUAUCUCCUCCAUUAGCCUGGGGGAGAAAAUUAAAUGUUGCUGCUACUCAGUGUUACCUGUCAUAUGGGGAUACAGGCAUUCUCAUGCGCUUAUGAUGGGAAUGUAAAAUACAAAUUUACAUAAUGGCAUUUUAAAAUUUUAGACAUAGGUUCAAAUUCUUUUUUUUCUGUUUUUAAGACAAGGUCUCGCUCUGUUGUCUAGACUGGAGUGCGGUAGCACGCACAAUCAUGGCUCAUUGCGGCCUUGACUUCUCAGGCUCAGGCCAUCCUCCCACCUCUCAGCCUCCGUAGUAGCUGGGUCUGCAGGCGCGCACCACCAUGCCCUUUUAAUUUUCGUUUUUUGUUUUUUGUUUUUUUGUAAAGACGGGGUUUCACAAUGUUGCCCAGGCUGGUCUCGAACCCCUGGGCUCAAGCGAUCCAAUCGCUUCGGCCUCCCAAAGGGCUGGAAUUACAGACAUGAGCCACCGCACCCGCCUGGGUUCAAAUUCUAACUGCAAUUUACUAGCCGUGUGAAAUCUAGAGUUACUUAUUUACCCUCUCUGUGCCUCUGUUUUCUUAUUUGUUAAAGUGAGAAUGUAAAUGAUGGUACCUAUCUCAUUAUGUUGUUAGAAGGAUUAAGUUAAUCCAUGUAAAGAGCUGGAAAUAUAACUAUUGUAAUGUUAUAUUUAU
rnacentral:lncRNA from 1 species